rnacentral:rRNA from 1 species
UAGCGAAGGGGGCUAGCGUUGCUCGGAAUCACUGGGCGUAAAGGGUGCGUAGGCGGGUCUUUAAGGUCAGGGGUGAAAUCCUGGAGCUCAACUCCAGAACUGCCUUUGAUACUGAAGAUCUUGAGUUCGGGAGAGGUGAGUGGAACUGCGAGUGUAGAGGUGAAAUUCGUAGAUAUUCGCAAGAACACCAGUGGCGAAGGCGGCUCACUGGCCCGAUACUGACGCUGAGGCACGAAAGCGUGGGGAGCAAACAGG